UGCCAGCCGCCGCGGUAACACGGGGGGCGCAAGCGUUAUUCGGAAUUAUUGGGCGUAAAGGGCGCGUAGGCGGUCUUGUCGGUCAGAUGUGAAAGCCCAGGGCUCAACCUCGGAGCUGCAUUUGAAACUGCUUGUCUUGAGGAUAGACGGGGAAAACGGAAUUCCACAUGUAGCGGUGAAAUGCGUAGAUAUGUGGAAGAACACCUGUGGCGAAAGCGGUUUUCUAGUUCAUUCCUGGCGCUGAGGCGCGAAAGCAAGGGGAGCAAACAGGAUUAGAUA
rnacentral:rRNA from 1 species